GAUGAACGCUGGCGGCGUGCCUAACACAUGCAAGUCGAGCGAUCUCUUCGGAGAGAGCGGCGGACGGGUGAGUAACGCGUGGGUAACCUGCCCUGUACACACGGAUAACAUACCGAAAGGUAUGCUAAUACGGGAUAAAAUAUGAAAGUCACAUGAUUUUUGUAUCAAAGAUUUAUCGGUACAGGAUGGACCCGCGUCUGAUUAGCUAGUUGGUAAGGUAAUGGCUUACCAAGGCGACGAUCAGUAGCCGACCUGAGAGGGUGAACGGCCACACUGGAACUGAGACACGGUCCAGACUCCUACGGGAGGCAGCAGUGGGGAAUAUUGCACAAUGGGCGAAAGCCUGAUGCAGCAACGCCGCGUGAGCGAUGAAGGCCUUCGGGUCGUAAAGCUCUGUCCUCAAGGAAGAUAAUGACGGUACUUGAGGAGGAAGCCCCGGCUAACUACGUGCCAGCAGCCGCCGUAAAAC
rnacentral:rRNA from 1 species